GGAUUAGAUACCCUGGUAGUCCACGCAGUAAACGAUGAGUGCUAGUCAUUGGAAAUUUAUUUUCGGUGGUGAAGCUAACGCAUUAAGCACUCCGCCUGGGGAGUACGGCCGCAAGGCUAAAACUCAAAGGAAUUGACGGGGACCCGCACAAGCGGUGGAGCAUGUGGUUUAAUUCGAUGCUACGCGAAAAACCUUACCAGCUCUUGACAUACGGAUCGCGAAAAUCAGAGAUGAUUUUUUUCAGUUCGGCUGGAUCCUGUACAGGUGUUGCAUGGCUGUCGUCAGCUCGUGCCG
rnacentral:rRNA from 1 species